rnacentral:rRNA from 1 species
UACGUAGGGUGCGAGCGUUAAUCGGAAUUACUGGGCGUAAAGCGUGCGCAGGCGGUCUGUUAAGGCCGAUGUGAAAUCCCCGGGCUUAACCUGGGAACUGCAUUGGUGACUGGCAGGCUUUGAGUGUGGCAGAGGGAGGUAGAAUUCCACGUGUAGCAGUGAAAUGCGUAGAGAUGUGGAGGAAUACCGAUGGCGAAGGCAGCCUCCUGGGCCAACACUGACGCUCAGGCACGAAAGCGUGGGGAGCAAACAGG